rnacentral:rRNA from 1 species
AUGGCAGCCAUACUAGAAUCUUUGCUUGGAUCAUGUGCCAAUAAGUUGCAAAAUAUUAUUAGUGAUGAGGCCAUACUUAUCCUAGGGGUGGAAGAAGAGCUUGCAGAAGUGUUGCGACGGGUAGAAUUAAUACGUUGUUGUAUAUAUGAUGCUGAGAAAUGGAGGACAAAAGAGCUUGCAGUGAACAAUUGGCUUGGUCAACUGAGAGAUGUUAUAUAUGAUGUGGAUGAAAUCUUGGACGUGGCUAGAUGCAAAGGAAGCAAGCUACUGCUUGACAAUCCAUCAUCAUCAAGCAGAUCAGCUUCCUAUAAAGGCCUUUCAGUUUCCUCUUGCUUUUGUAACAUCGGGUCACGCCACGAUGUUGCUGUUCGGAUUAAAAGUCUGAACAAAAGGAUAGAGAAAAUUUCAAAAGAUACAACUUUUUUAACAUUCAGCAGUAGUACACAACCUACUGGAAAUGGUCCAACAUCCAAAGUGAUAAGAAGUUCCAACCUUGUUGAGCCCAACCUUGUGGGUAAGGAGAUCAUACAUUCUAGCAAGAAGUUGGUAGACUUAGCACUUGCUCACAAGGGAAAUAAGUCUUAUAAGCUUGCUAUUGUUGGAACAGGAGGAGUUGGUAAGACAACACUAGCUCAGAAAAUAUUCAAUGACAAAAAAAUAAAAGGAAGCUUCAAGCUACAGGCAUGGAUUUGUGUUUCGCAAGACUACAAUCAAGUAACUGUUCUAAAAGAGGUUCUUCGAAAUAUUGGUGUGUAUCAUGAGCAAGGUGAAACCAUAGCAGAACUGCAGAGAAAGCUUGCAGAAACAGUCGAAGGGAAGAGUUUCUUUCUGGUUUUAGAUGAUGUGUGGCAUCCCAAUGUCUGGGCGGAUUUAUUAAGAACCCCAUUCCAUACAACAAAUUCUGGAGUAAUAUUGGUAACCACACGAGAUGAUCAAAUUGCAAUGAGAAUAGGCAUACAACAUACCCAUCAAGUUGAUCUCAUGUCAGCAGAGGUGGGAUGGGAGCUGCUUUGGAAGAGCAUGAACAUUGCCGAAGAGAAAGAAGUGCAUAAUUUGAGAAACACAGGCAUGGAGAUUGUUGAUAAAUGUGGUCGCCUCCCUCUUGCAAUUAAGGUUACUGCUAGUGCUUUGGCAAGCAAAGAUCUAACCGAGAAUGAGUGGAGAAAGUUUUUAGGCAAAUACUCUGGCUCCCAUGGGAUGCUCUCUGAUGAAAUAGAGGGCGCUCUAUACCUAAGCUAUGAUGAGUUACCGCAUCGUCUGAAACAGUGUUUCCUUUACUGUGCUUUGUAUACUGAAGAUUCUAUCAUUUACCGUGGUGUAGUUACAAAGUUAUGGAUUGCUGAAGGCUUCAUUAUGGAGCAACAAGGUCAGCUACUAGAAGACACAGCAGAAGGGUACUACUAUGAGUUAAUCCAUCGGAAUCUCCUCCAACCAGAUAACACAAUUUUUAACCAGGCUCAAUGCAGAACGCAUGACCUCUUAAGACAGCUUGCUUGCAAAUUAUCACAGGACGAAUGCUUUAUUGGAGACGUUGAAACAUUGAGGGGUGAGAAUAUGUCAAAAUUGCGACGCCUUUCUGUUGUCAGUAAGAAGGAUAAAUUAGUGUUAACUAGCAUGGAUAACAUGGUAGUUAAGGUCAGGACAUUCCUUGCUUUUUAUGGUCCAUGGAAAAUUGAGGAUGCAUUCUUCAAGAGAUUUCUACUUCUUCGUGUUUUGGCCCUGAAUUACUCAAUUGUGCGAAACAUUCCAGAUUCUAUAGCAAAACUGAUCCAUCUACGCUUACUUGAUCUUGGUCAUACUGGCAUAUCUCAUCUUCCAGAAUCCAUUGGAUCCCUAAAGAACCUUCAAGUAUUGAGCUUGAUAAAUUGUGAUGCUCUGCACAGUCUUCCGUCGGGGAUGACCCAAUUGUGCAAUCUACGAUGUCUUCGUCUUACUGGUACAAAAGUAAAUAAGGUUCCAAAAGGGAUAGGAAAAUUAAAUUUGCUCUGA